AGAGACGAGUCAGAGUUUGAUCCUGGCUCAGGACGAACGCUGGCGGCAUGCCUAACACAUGCAAGUCGAACGGAACUUGUUGAAUGAAGUUUUCGGAUGGAUUUUAGUAAGUUUAGUGGCGGACGGGUGAGUAACGCGUGAGCAACCUGCCUUUCAGAGGGGGACAACAGUUGGAAACGACUGCUAAUACCGCAUGAUGUGUCGAGACCGCAUGGUCUUGACACCAAAGAUUUUAUCGCUGAAAGAUGGGCUCGCGUACGAUUAGAUAGUUGGUGAGGUAACGGCUCACCAAGUCGACGAUCGUUAGCCGGACUGAGAGGUUGAACGGCCACAUUGGGACUGAGACACGGCCCAG
rnacentral:rRNA from 1 species